GACGAACGCUGGCGGCGUGCUUAACACAUGCAAGUCGAACGGAAAGGCCCUGCUUUUGUGGGGUGCUCGAGUGGCGAACGGGUGAGUAACACGUGAGUAACCUGCCCUUGACUUUGGGAUAACUUCAGGAAACUGGGGCUAAUACCGGAUAGGAGCUCCUGCUGCAUGGUGGGGGUUGGAAAGUUUCGGCGGUUGGGGAUGGACUCGCGGCUUAUCAGCUUGUUGGUGGGGUAGUGGCUUACCAAGGCUUUGACGGGUAGCCGGCCUGAGAGGGUGACCGGCCACAUUGGGACUGAGAUACGGCCCAGACGCCUACGGGAGGAAGCAGUGGGAAAUAUUGCACAAUGGGCGGAAGCCUGAUGCAGCAACGCCGCGUGCGGGAUGACGGCCUUCGGGUUGUAAACCGCUUUCGCCUGUGACGAAGCGUGAGUGACGGUAAUGGGUAAAGAAGCACCGGCUAACUACGU
rnacentral:rRNA from 1 species